ACCGAAGAAAUCUCAGCAAUUAAUGCAAGCACGCAGGACCCUGGGAAAAGCACUGGAUUUUAACAAAUGACUGUGCUCAUACGCCGAUUAAUACCCCGCCAGCAAAAGCAAGAAAUAUCAGGAAAGAAGCAGCAGGAUGGUUCUCCACAGGCUAUGCAGACACUGUCUGAGGGACUAGGAGCCAGCUUCUCCAAGACUAGAACUCAGACCACUGUCCAAAGGAGCCUGGAGCUGGGUCUCGUUAUCCUACAGAAAGAAGACCUAUUAAGUGUGCAGACUGUGAAUCUUCCGAAGAAAACAUCAGUCAUGUUAUUGUUAGCACUUUAUGAACACCAGCUGAUCAUCAAACUUGCCCUUAUCUUCUUCUGUUACUGAUGCAAUGCCCAGAACUCUCACUGUUAAAAAAAUGAGAAACCCGGGUGUACAGUGAGAGGUCAUUUAUUUAGAUUGUGGAGAUUUGGACAAGUACUUCUCUUAAAAAGAACAAUUUAACAAGUAUUCAGCAAAAAUAAAAAUAAAAAAUUGGCCCAUCUCCUUUGUAAGGAAAAAAGGUUUCUCCUUUGAAAUGAAUACAAACCAGAACCAAAGAGAAAGGCACUGAAAAGAGAGAGAACAAGGCAUAGCACUGGCUGUCACCUGUUCUCAGAAUGAUGAAAAUACUGAGGCACCUUCCAGUAGAAGAGACUGAAGACUUUGAAAUGAAGACAUGCCGAAUUUUCAAAUUCUCUCAGUGUUCCCAUGACAUCUUGUGCUAUUUACUUCAUCCACUAAAGCUCUGGGAAUUAAAUGGCUAAUAAGAUUGGAAUGUCAAAUUUACAAAUACAAAGGGGGGUGAAUGGCCAUCAGGAUUGCAGCUCGAAUGAUAAUGGCUGAAAAGCCAGCAGAGCUGGCUUCACAGUGAGGUAUAUUAAUACAUUUCCAGCAGUGAAGAGAAGAGGUAGUACUACCACUAAACUGGAAAUGGCUUUCUUGAUUUUGUUCCUUUAAAUUAACGCAGAAGUUAAAACUUUCUUUCAAAGAAAAAACCAAAUCACUAACAAAAAUUUGCAGUAACUGUAGUCAGAGCACCUUUUUCAAACAAAAUGUCUUUAUAAGCAAUAGAGUAAUAUGGCUACAGUGGUGGGUUUUGUUAAUAUUAAAAAACAUAGAACAGACAAAUUGCAGUCGUAGAAAACUGUACAAAAACCAUCAAUGCUUCUAACAAUUAUAGUAAGUUUAAAAAGUUAAUAAAGUAAAUAAAGAUAUGAACAAGGAUACAAAGAGAAAAUUUACUGGCUUAUGAAAAUACUUGCACAAAGCUAUCGUCAGCAUAAUAUCCCCAAGAAAAUAUAAAAAUAGAUACAGAAUUUAUGCAAAUUGGCUCUGGAAAGUAUGUCUUUUAAUAUAUUUUAUCUGGCCUUAAAGAGGAUACUAACAAUUUAUACUUUGAACGAGAAUUCAUUUUGCUGUACUCACUCUCUGAGUACAUUGUUUAAUGUACUCAGAGAGUGAGUACAGCAAAAUGAAAUUAACACCUGCUGCAUAGACAAGAAGUCCUGUUACUUGCUGAUGAAGAGUGAAGCUCUUGAACACACGUACCCCUCAUAGCAUGGUCCAGAAGGCAGGCAAAGCACACUGACGUAUAGCAACACUAAUGGCACAUUAAUAUGCCUCAUCCUGUACCUCUAUUCCUUUAAGGCCAAGUAUAGAUUUGUUUCAUCAUCUCUGAAAAGGCCAAUACGAAAACUAAACCCAAGUCCCCUUCCCCUAGCUGUUUAAAUAAGAAGCUAUUUUUCCUGUCUUGUCAGGCAAAAUUCAAGAUGAUUUCUGGUAUAAUUGACAGUAUUUGGAAAUACAAUACAACAUUUCUUAUUAAACUAGCUUCUGAAUUGCCCAAAAUAUUCAAUACAAUCAGGCAGUGCGUCAAACCCCACACAGAAAGAACAGCUCAGCUCUUUCUGAUAGCAUUAAGAUGUCACAUAUAAAUAAAAUCCAAAUUUGUUAAUAGCAUUUAUGUGCAAAGUGUCCCCAACAUAUGUGGAAACUGCUUUCUCUGGUAGGCUUUGCAAGUUUGCAAAUGAAGUAUUUUCAAAUAAAGUAUUCAUAUUUAAGAGGCCAGGGAUAUGCACUAAUGAAAGUAGAAUGUUAGCUGCAGUUUCCUAACUUAUCUCAUAACUUCAAUUACAACUGGAUCUGCAUACAAAACCUGUCAGUAAUGUACAACAUCAAAUAUGAGAGUGAUUAAGAAAUCCCCAUAAGUGUACUGUUCAAAGACUAAAUAAAUAGGUUAAAAUAUGCAUAUCAAUUUUAAAACCAGAAAAUAGUAUCCAUGAAGACAUUACUAAGUUUCUACAUUCCAAUUCAUAACUUUAUCAUAGUCCUGAAUUCGUUGUUUUAUGUGAGAAAGCUUAUUCUUCAGAUAUUCACAACGCUCCUUUUUCUCCAGAAAUGCAGGAUCCUGCCAAAAAUACAAAAACCUUUACAUUAAUAUAUUAGGCUUUCAGACUCUUCCAAGAAUAGUCUAUUAUCGAUUAUCUUCUUGACUAAAAGGACAGUAUGUAAAUAUUCUCAAAAAAAUCACACUCUUUUCCCCUGGCCCUUUCUUAUUUCCUGUUUCCCUUUCCUUCAUGAAAGCCCAGAAGAAAAUGUUCUGCCCUUAUAUGCUGUAAAUAGAGCUGUUUUAAAGCAGGAAUCUGCAAAUAUAAAUGACACCCUAAUAUGUAAUUUGGACUUUACACAUGUGUUUGUUAUAUGUGCAAUACACCCUUCCCCUCAAAAAAGCAAUGAACUAGCAAGGACAUAAAUUCCAUGGAGAAAAAAAUGCGUAUUUGUAAUGCAUGUUUUUAAUGGAACAGAGAUACAUAUUUGCUUACUGCAUUUAAAAAUUAUGAAGAGAAACCUCUUGGAUUACACUGAAAAUUACCUUCUGAGAGUGUCUAAAUUCCAUGGCUCAAAAAAUACAAAAUUUCUUUUAAAGUGUAAGACUAUGUUUUCCGGUUUUAUCCAUUGGCUGUGUCAGUCAGUGAAUAUAACUGAACUAAUCUUCUGAAUGCAGAAUGCUAAGAGAUUAAACAUACUCUCAAAAGAUGAAAAUGCUCAACUCUUGUUUUUUCCCCACAUGUGGCUACUGGAAUCAUUAUUCUCAAAAAUGCUCGUUGGCAUGAGUGUAUAGGUUGUGACCUAACUUUGCCAAAGUUUGAGAAGACAAAAUAGACAAAACACAACAGGUACCCUGAGAUACUGAAAUCUGCCUAGCAUCAGAAGUAUUGUCUGUUUACACUCUCUUGGCUAGUCAUUAGAUUCAAUAGCAAUGUAAAUUUAAAAUACUUACAUUUUUCUUCUUCUUGUAUUCUUGCAGAACUUUUGAUAUCCUUUCCUGUUCCUAAUGAGAAACCACAGAUUUUAAACUUUGAGUGUGCUCCAUAUAUGCAUGUAUGUACUACAAAAUACUCAUCAGAAUUCUCAAUUCAUCAAUACCUUGUGGUUAUAAAAUUUUAGAUGUAAACAUUGUAUUUGAGAAAUAAUGAAAAUAUAUCAACUGUAACUCACUAGAAAUUAAAAGCUACUAGUAUGAAACAAAGAAACAAAA